UAAUUUGUGACAAUAACGGCUGCACGGUGUGAUUUCUUUUAACUGACGCUGGUCUUCGGCGGGACGUCCUCACGGAGCUACUUGUUGAGGCGUGUUGAGAUUGAGCACAGCUGCCAACUCUCACGCCUUCGCCGGGUGGCACACGGCGUUGCAUGUUCUCACGCCACGCAUCCAAUCGUCACGCAAAGAGAGUCUGAUUGUGGCCCGAGAGCGUUGGUUCCUUUGGUGGAGCGCGUCACCCUACUGCUGCAUGGACGCGCUUCUCACAGCGGACGGCCUUACCAGCUGACUAGCAGGUUUCCUUUUCAUUUAAAAUGAAAAGUGUAUACAUAUAGAACGGAGCACCGGAUUAAAUUGAUUCAAAUAAUUAGGGUCAGAGUUGUUGUACAGUUGAAGGUUUGUGUUACAUCACACUGCAUCUGCUUCAUAGGAGGUUGUAUACAGUAACAACAAAGCGUUGAUAUUUUACUCAUUGGUUGGUGACUUAGGGGCCGAUAGUCAGAGUACAGUUAGAUGCACGUCACUAAUGAAAGAGAAAAUGUACCUGAAGCUCAUCUGUGUCUCUGCAUCAACCGAUUAACCUCACAGCAUUGGAUGUAUCCGACUAACACGCCUGGAGAACUCCGUCCGAUCCGGUGGAUAGUUCGACUACUGCGGCAUGCGGCGGUGGAUCGGAUGAGGAACUGGACUUGAGAUCCCGACGGCGUCUUCUCUCCGUUAUCAAAUCAGCCGAUAGCGCCAUUCGCACUCGCUGUGCUCCUGUUAGCAUCACGCACACAUAGUAGAGGGAUGUAGCUUCACCUCGCUCUCCGCUCGCCGUCUUUCUCCUAAUGUUGUUGUUGUUGUUGUUGUUGGUAGUGGUGAAGAGGUCAAGCGGAAAUGGCUGCACCACAACUCGUUGUAAUGAAAACAGCGCCACCUGUCGUAUUGGAUAUGACGUGCUUUCUGCCAAUGAUUGGAUUCAUUCACUGUCGUGUAUAUUAAGAUAAUAACACCUCCCCCCGAAAGAGAGCGUAGUCCCACUAAGCAAAGACUCCAGUUACACCAUCAUGUAGCGUGUGCUCCAUCUCCCGUCCACGCCGUCGGGCCCCCAUGGGUCCACCCAGAGUCCAUCCCUAUUCCCUGAUGUUGGAGCCACCACACAUGAAGGCCACGGACCAGGUCUCACUCCAGGGGGGUUCUGACAAAUUGGCACCUCUGCAUUGAGUCACGGUUAUAACUUUAUAACAGCAAUGAAUAACGCACAACACUAACCGGAUAAAACACCACAACAGCUGGUGACACAUAAACAAUUUGUGACACUAACCAGAAAGUUCUGCAGUCAUUGUCACAGUGUGGAUGUGCAUGAAAGGGCCCAGCAGGCGAGUGAAGACCAGCCACUGAGGCUAGCGAGCACACGACCCAUUGCCUCUGGCCGCUUGUCAGCAGUUGGGUCCUGUUGCUGCUAGCGCCACGUUAGCAUCACGCUAGCUCGAUAAAGCGAUGGCGUCACAGACCAGGUUACCGUCAGAGUCCUGGUGAGUCCACAGCGCACAGACCUACUAGAGCGCCACCAGGGAUUGGUCUUCAUUACCAACCGACCAACUAUGAGAACAAUUGAAGGUUUGUCACCGUUUCUCUAUAGAAAGUAUCAUCAUCAUCCUUCAUUUAGUCUUAUUUAUGUGUUGGUACAGACCGACAGCACUACGGUCUGAACCUACGGAUUCAUUCAUUCAGAAACGUUUCUUAUUUGGGGACAGAAGCCGACAUCCUUCUACAUUUAUGUCUUGCACAUGGUUAGCCUAGCUUAGCAUAAAUGCUAGGGGAAAACAGUGGUUAGCUGCACUGACGGAGAAGUGAAGGUGCUGCAGUGUCUUACACCUGCAUUCUCUCUAAACGCCACCGGGGGGCGUUCCUGUUACUGUAGACGACUAGAAACUGACAGCUUCUCUUCAUUUAUUCCCUCAGUGAACAUCGGUAACACGAGCUCAAGGUCUCAACAUUCUUCUUCAAUACAGCCUGGUCUUCAUUUAGUACACUUAGGGUCAAAUAGACCCCGCAGCAGGGCGGGGGUCCCUCACCCGCUAUCCAGACGUGGUCACUUCUGUUUACUGGCUGCUAAGAGGGCAACAGCCAAACUUGAGGCUCAGUACUGUCGUCCACAAACCACCAUAGCCCCUUUUCUUUGGGGUGGGUUCCAUGUAGCCCCUUUCCUGAUUCCUGAUAAGAUGGAGGGUUGCACUGCAAAGGUAACUUAAACAAAAACAGAUGGCUACUGCUUCUUGAUUAUUCCAUGGAGAUCCGCUCCAGCGCCUACGGGACCCUGUGCAGGCUGCACUGAGGGCCCUGCCUCCCAUUGAGCCAGCAGAGCUGCAGCUCGUAGUGUGCGUGUGUGUGUUUUAUGGUCCUGCGUGUCACUGCAGGUGGAUGAAAAAGGGUCAGACGCUGAGAUUGGAACGCUGUCCAAUCAGUCAGAGACAGACACACACACCUUAUUAACCAAGCUCAAGGACCACUGACCUGGCAAACCAUGUCACAGGGGGGACGGAUACCAACAUGAAUCAUAGGAAGGAGUCACAUGGUGACGUCCCAGAGCAAAAACAGGGACAGGAGGACAAGAGGACAGAGGACAGAGGACAGUGCGACGUAAGGCCACGACAAUGGAAACGCAGCUUUCCCUUCACGCGUGCAUUCAACCCAAAACAAACAUCCAGCUGCAGUGGGAGGGGCUCCACGGCAGCGGUUACGGGACGCGGUGGGAGGGGCCCCAGCCGGCCCGUCCCCCAUGUUUAUUCACCACUGCUCCGUUACAAAAGGUGAGAACCUAAGCUACCCAUACCGAACGUUUACCCAGAGGCCAGCGCGUGUUUCUGCGUCUACGUCGACGCCCUCGUCUCACUUCCUGGUUGUAAAGUCUUCGAUUCACCUCCAGAACAACAGGUGGAGUCACCUGUUUUGUUGAAGACGACCUAGAGCAGGGGUCUCAAACUCGCGGCCCGCGGGCCAAUUGCGGCCCUCGGGACGAUAUUUUGUGGCCCCAUCCUUAAUAUGAAAGUGUAAUGUUAGUGCGGCCCGCAAGUUUUAUACUGUAACCCCACUGUCAGCUGCUGUGUGUGAUGUUCUGGUUUCCUACUGUGUGCUUGUCCAGUGAACGUGGCAUGCAUGUGACUGACAUGGGGG
ensembl:lncRNA